rnacentral:rRNA from 1 species
AUGUCACAUGGACACAUGGCAACUUCAAACAUUUUUCAUGACAAAUUUAGUGACAUGAGAAUGACAAUUUUAGUGGUCAAGCAUGACAACUUCUUUUUUCAGAUGGCAAGUCUCUGUUUUUUCUUGAGGGAUUCAUUUUUCUUUUCGGAUAGCAACUUUAGUUGCAAAAAACAUAAGCACAGGAGUACUUCGUGCCACACGUGUGGCACUUAUCCGGCGUGCUUAAGCAGUAAGAAGAUGUUUUUUCUGACAGUCUUGUACAGCAAAAGAUUUGGCACGUGUGGCACUUAUCCGACGUGCUUAAGCGGUAACAAGAUGUUUUUUCUGACAGUCUUGUACAGCAAAAGAUGCAAGUUUAGCUGA